GGCCGGUUAGCUAAGUCAGUUGAGCAUGGUGCUAACAACGCCAAGGUCACAGGUACAAUCCCUGUUCAGUCCC
rnacentral:tRNA from 1 species